UUCCUCAUUGUUGUCCAAGCAGAGUGAGUUCCCUAUUCUAGCAAGAUUGCAUGAGACAUAUAAUGAGAUCCCUGCAUUCCAGGAGGCUCUGCCAGAGAACCAGCCUGAUGCAGUACACUUGUUGAACCAGUAAUUUGGAACAGGCAGAUUUGUUUUUAGCACCUCAAUUAGAUGCAGCAAUUAAGAGAUUCAACGUUGACAUGAAGGAAUUCCCUACUCUAUCAAGAUUACACGAGACAUAUAUUGAAGUCCCAGCAUUUAGGAAGAACCAGCCAGAUGCAGUACAUUAGUUGAACCUAUAAUUUGGGAGUGGUAACUGCAGGAGCGACUGAUUGGGCAUCAUUAGUAACUCUUGCAAUAAGGUUGCUGGGUACAAUAUCAUGGACGGCGGAUAAUAGUGAUUUGGUUUGUAUAACUAAAAAGCCUUGUGAUUAUUUACUUUAGAUUGCUGCUUUUAUACCUUGAUGCAUGGUUCUUAAUGGUCACAUGAUUCUUUGAUCGUU